rnacentral:lncRNA from 1 species
CUUUGAUCGUCCUUGGGUUUCACUUUGAGGUCUCAUCUUCGCUAGUUCUUGGUUUUUACUAGUUUGACUGUUGACUGUCUUUCCACAAACUUAUCCUUUUCUUUGUCAGAUAAAUCCCUGGAGGCUGACGGCGUCUAUACGUACGCUCAACAUGCUCGCACUUAUAAAGAGAGAAGGAAAACAUGUCAGAGGUUUUAUCGUUGGACAAAUUUGACCCACAGUAUUCUCACUCACUCUGUCAGAGUUCCAGGCUGAAAUCUUUCAUUGUGUAACUUUAGACCCACAAUAGAAAAAUAGAGAGCGAAGAUAAAAGAAAUAUAGUCAGAAACGAGUUGAAAUGUGGAGAAUGUAUCCCGUCAUUGUUUCCCACCUUUGUGUCUCGGCUUGCUUUAAGAAAAGGCUUUAAAAAAAGAAAACCCUCCCUAGGAGCAACACGGCGUCGAAUCCAGCGAAUCCAGCGAGUGUGUCUGGAGAAGUGCCCUUUAAAAGAUUACUUUGAUGGCAUUUCUUCAUCAUUAGUCUGCUGGAAGUGAAAAGACAGAAAAGCUGUGUGAGAGGGGGUGUGUAACAAAGCGACAACGGUUCCAGGAAAAGCUACCUCUACUUUGUAAACACCUCCUCCAGCUGAGCCUCUGUGAUUCAUUCUCCUCUUUGACUCUAUUUUGGGGUUAUAAUCUUCCUCUUUGUGGGGAACAGCAGCUUGUUUUAUCCUCUUUUCAAAGAAAUAAGUUUGGAUUUUUAGAGGUGACUUGUGAAGACUUCUUUUUUCUGCCUUUUGAAUUCAUUUUGCGUUUCUUGUGGCGGGUCUCAGGCACGGCGACCUUUGAUAUUUACAGGCUGUAGCCUGUUUGGUCUGAUUUCAUUGAUCCGCAUUGAUUGGUUCCUCAUGGGACGUCUCUCUGAGCGUGUUUACUUUGAUCAAUGGGCCUAAUGGAUAAAUACAAAUAUCUGCUAUCUCUCUCCUGCUCCAGCUGGUCCAUACUAAUCUCCUUGUGUCGUCUGGAGGUGUUAAGAUAUUGCUAAGACACUAAUCGCUCAGACCUGGAGGGUAAUUCUCUUUUCUUUCCGUCUAUAUCCUCUUCACUUUUCUGUCUCCCUUCCUCUCUUAAAGAUGGGCUGCAUUAAGAAGAUAAUACUCAAAGAUGUCGUAGUCUGCGUGGUGAGGGAUUGAUUCAGUCUGGGAGAUGUUCUGCACGGACACUUUGAGUGGGAAAAUCCCAGUUUAAGUCCACCAUAAGCUGCAUAGGAACUUGUUGUUGUUUGCAAACAGCCCUGUGGUGGCACUGUUUUCCCACCAUAGAUCUCUUUAUGUCUUCUCAGAUCAGACAUAAGGGAUGCAAAGAGAGAGCAGUAUGUCUAUAUUUGUGGAUUCACACUGAGAGGGGAGGGUCUGGAGUGCUUCAACACAAUAGGACACAAAUAUUUUAAUCUCAGCCUGUUUGUGUCAUUAACAUUUCACCAAAACCUUUCAAACACUCGAGCACGUGUGUUCGUGGAUGAGCCCAAUCUGUCAAAGACAUGCUGGCGUUUCGCUGUGACUGCUGCCACUGAGGGGGUUCCUCUCAAACUCAAACAACUUGAAUGAAAUAUAAAAAAUUCACUCUGGCACAACAGCUCAAAGCACUUCUAAAAUUAACGCGGCUCAUCGGGGGACUUGAUUAAAGAGCACAAACAACAGACUGUAACACGGAGUUUGUCAGGUUUAUGAUGGUCCUGGACUAGAAUGAUAAAAUAGGGAUUCACCACCGGAACAUUUUGAGAUCAUGUAUUGUGCAUUUAAUAAAACUACAAACACACCGAGAGUCGAGUGAGAGAAAAUAACCGACCAUAUGUUUAUUUUGGCUGGUAACUCCAGCUGAAUUUUGUUAUUUCAUUAGAGAAACCAGCGAGGACGCAAGUUCUGAGUUUGUAAAGAUCAUUUCUCCACAAAACCUGAACAAUUUUUACAAACUCUGACCCAAACAUGAACGUCAGUGCGCUGCUAGUAUGAUGCAUGUUUAAGAACAGUGCAAAAACACUGAUAGGCUAACAUUGUCUUCAUUACGUAGAUGGCCUGAUUGCAGGGGUAUCGUAUUGUUUCGUAUCAUUUCGUAUCGUUUUGUUAUUGUUUUGUAUCAUAUUGUUUUGUUAUUGUAUCGUAUCGUUUCGCCUUGAUUCAUUUCGUAUCGUUUCGUAUCAUUUUGUUAUUGUAUCUUUUCGUUUUCUUUCGCAUUGAUUCAUUUCAUAUUGUUUCAUUUUGUAUCGUAUCAUAUUUUUUGGUUAUUGUAUCUUUACAUUUUGUUUCACAUCGCAUCACUUCGCAUAAUAUAGUUUUGUUAUUGUAUUGUAUCAUAUCUGUAUCGAUUCAUAUAGCAUCUCAUCUGAGUCAUAUAUUUGGUGUCAUAUCAUUUUGUUAUUGUAUCGUAUCUGUAUCAUGUCAUUUUGUAAUUGUUUUGUAUCGUUAUUCUUAUGUGAUCGUAUCGUUUCAUUUCGUAUCGUUUCGAAUCGUUUCCUGUCAUUUCACAGCGUAUUGUUUUGUUAUGGUAUGGUAGCUGUACCGUAUCGUUUUGUUAUUGUUUUGUAUCGUUUCAAAAUGUUAUUUAAUUGUUUUGUUUCGUAUCAUUUCAUAUCGUUUUGUGUCGUUUCACAUCCUAUCGUUUCGGUAUUCUAUGGUAUCUGUACCAUAUCGUUUCGUAUCGUUUUGUUAUUGUUUUGUAUCGUUUCAUUAUGUUAUUUUAUUGUUUUGCUUCGUAGUGUUUCGUAUCGUUUCGUAUCGUAUCGUAUCGUAUUGUAUCGUUUCGUAUCAGGCCGAGCUUACCAGGAUUCUCUCUGGGUAAAGUUUCUUGCGUUGAUCAUUAAACCUUUCUUACAUCUUUUAGUAUGAUUGCAUGAAAAGCAGGUUUAGGCUUGAGUCCAUGCCGCCAAAGCAAACACACAAUACCCAUAUAAAAGAGAAGCUCCUCUCUGAAUGGCAAACAUGUACGUUUCAUUUAUUUUUACACACCAGAAAGGCAGAGAGGGAAAGCAUGCCGUACUCAACCCUGUCCAACAGACACAAAAGCUGUCAUGAUCGCCCCAUACAGCAUAAGGUGAUUUUACAUACACCACUGACGUCUCCACUGCUGCACUGGUGAGAUAAAGUCUCUGUUUAAAUUGCCUCCAAUUCUAAAUUAGCUCCAAAUCUAAUAACAACUUCCAUGAUUUCUUUUCUCCACAUGAGGAAAGUCAUUAUCCGGUAUCAGCACAGUAUGUCAGCAAUAUUGCCAGCAGUUACACUGCAGCAGUUUGGAGAGAGGUCGGGGACAUUUGACAGCGUCUGGGCUUGUCAGCUAUCACUCUACACUUUUAAAGAUUAAAAAGACCCACAGGGGCAUUUUUAGACCUUGUUCUCGCCCCCCCGAAACAUGGCAGAGCGCGACAAACAACAAACAGCAGCAGCUCCAGCAUGUGUGCGACCUCAUUUUAUCAUAAUCCGCCCUUCACUGAGCCAGCUCCCAAAAGGUGCGGCGUGUUUGCGAACAUGGAAAUUGAAAAGCUGCCUAAUUGAAGGUGCGGCGCAGAAAGUGCUCAUCUCAACAAGUCACUCUCUCUUGUUUUGAAACAUGUCUCUCUGUUUAACACAAGUGGCCGGUGUCACUCGUUUCCAAGGCAAUUUAACUUGUGUAAAGAGUUCUCAUGGAUCGAUUGGGAACUUGAAACAAGUGGAGCGGCUUGUUUCUGGCUUUGAUUUCCCUUGUUUCAAAAUCCUGAUGCUUUAUUUGAGAGCCUUUCCAACAAGUAUUUAAAGUUUCAGACUUAUUGAAUGCUUUUUAGGCUUUUCUGAAGGACGCAAAGCUGUGCUGACACCGACACCUGACCAAAAUACACAGAUAAACACGACUCAGCAGAAGCUAAGGAAAUAUGGCGAUUUUGUGUAUUUUACCAUUAAAAAUAGUGACAUGGUGCACAAAAACUGGCAUAAAAAGGCUGUAACAUUGAAUUUUGUGUUUAUUAUUUUUUGAAUGGUCAGGGCUGAAGUUGUCGAAGAGAUUUGAGUCAAAAAAAGAUUAUUUUAUGAACACUUAUCUGUCCUCUUUGAGGACAAAGUAGGCUGAAUGGAGCUUAAAAUUUACAGGAACCGCGAGUUAAAUAAAACCUCCUUAACCCUGCUCAUAAAUACUUUUAAAAAUCUCGCUCCCGUUAAGAUCAGCAUUGUUUCUGCCUCUCCGUUUUUUCCUGGAGAGUAUCUUAAAAGAGACCAAUAAUGAAGCUGCCUCUGACAGUGUCACCACAGCCUUGACUCCUCAAUUGCCGAUUCAUCUUCCCACUUUUGACAACCUCAACUCAGGUAAUUUCACAGGACUGUUGCCACAAAUCAGCACAAAUGGCCUUGAGUGGGUGGGGAGUGGUGGUGGGGGGAUGCAUAUUCACAGCCAGUGUGAAAGUACAGUCUUUAGCCAUGACCCAUUCUUCUCGGCCAAUGGGAAAGAGAAGUGUGCCAGCAUGAUUAAUGGUCAUGAUUACCUUCUCAGAAAAUGUGGUUUUCUGGCCCAGCAGCUUCACUUUUAUGACUUAAACCCGGGGCGAGAUGCUUCAUCAUGUGGCGGGCGGAGCUGUGCGCAGACCUCCCAGACAGCGUGUUGUGAUGGCCAAACAUAUCACUGCUGAAGUGUUUACCAUCAGCUGUUUGAAUACGACUGUGAAGCCUCUCAACGGUCGUAAUGUGGACAGCUGUUCGACUUAAGACCUGAGAAUGAGGAUAGAUGUGGACGAGGGGCCAGGAGGGCACCCAAAAGAAAAAAGGAAAGGAACAAAGAGUCUGUAGAGAUAUUAGAUAAAAGUCUGGGGAAGAAGAGCCUAAAUGAGCUUUUUUGGGGGGGCUUAGACUCACCCCGUAUUCCCAGUUUCAAAAAGACAAAAAAAAAAGAGAGAAAACAAAGAGGAGAGUCGGAAGAAGACAAAGGAAGCAAAAACAUCCCAAGAAAUCCGUUUUGGCAAGGACUCACCCCUGCUGCUGCAGGUACCAGAUGUGUGAAGACGUCACACUACGACAAGUCCAUACAGACAAACAAACCACAUUGCACUUCAUUCAAUAAGUCAAAUGUGCUCAGUUUAAAGCCCCUCACAGUUUAUUUCCGUUUGAUCAUUCAAUUGACCUCGAACCUUUGUCUCCAUUUAAUACAGAGAAUUACAACUUACUGUUCUGCAGGGCUGCCAAGUUUCAGAAAAUACGAUACGUGAGAGUUCUGAUGUGUUCAGGAAAAAAAAAAGGCCUUUUUUAAUGUCGAUUUGUACCUUCAGACUGAUGUCCUCACCUCCAUGCCAGCUGCUCUCCCUAAUGCUCGUCUUAAUGAACCAGAAUUUAGAAAUUAGAAAGUGGGUUUUAAAUGUCGGCGCUGUUUUGUCUGAAAGAUAGUUAGAGAUGCCAAGACCCACCGUAGGUUGCUUCUGAUUGGUUUGUAUUGGGUGGUGCCUUCAGUAGUUGGUUAGAUUUAACCACAAAGGACUGAUGGAUUUGUUAUCUUGGUCAGUCAAUCUGAGUUACUCAAACUACGGCAAGGUUUCCCCUUCUCUUUAAGUAAUAAUCAUCAUAUUAAUCAUUUUGCACUGCAGACGCGGUAGUUCUUCUGUCUUAGCGUCUCGGUCUGAUUGUAUUUCCAUGAAGAAAUGAUCAUAAAUGUUCUUCCUUAAGCUGCGUCACCCCGCUGUAGUCCGUAAUGGACUGGCCUGAGGUCUCGCUACAAACAAACGGCUGCUGGAAGAGAGUAGGUGAGUUGUGUUUAGUCCCUUUGCUAAAGAAAUGAGUCAAAGUUAAAAAGAUGUUUGGUGUCUAGUACUAUGUCUGUGACCCUAUAUGUCCUGUUGAUGAAGUUAGGUGCUGUUCUGAGCAUUAUUUGUGGCUAUAGAGUGGUGUUUUGGUUGAGUGUGUGUCUCUCUGUAUUGCUUUCUGCGGUUGUUACUAAAGUUGGUAUAACUAGAGGAGCAAAGCGGUUAACAUUCAUCUCUCGAGGGGGUGUCUAAAUCGGUUUUACGGUGUGUUUGACCCUAGCUUAAUUUUACGCCAGAAUAUCCCUUUAAGUGUACACUAAGCCUACUCCAAUUUCCCCAUUCCCUGCUAGCUAGUAGCUGCCCGCCUGCUGAAGCUUUGUUGCACCAGAAUAAAAAAAACGCUCAGUUUUUACCAAGAGCAUUUGAGGUUUUUCUUUUUUUCAUUUUCUACUUUGUUUUUUUUUUUCCUGUAAAUAUUUUCAGAAAAUCAAUUUGAAGAUAGGAGUGGGGGGAUCUACGCCGGUCUGAGGAGGGAGCUCGUAACUCUCCAAGCCCCUCCCUCCUGUUGCCGUUGAUUACAGAUUGUACAGAAGCGUUCAGCCGGAGAGCGAAAAAAAGGCUCUGAGGUGAAAAUGUUUUCGAAUCUCCUCCGACACCUGAUGUGAAUCUAAAGCGGCUGGUCGGUCGGUAUCACUGAGAAGCGGCUGACCAAAUGAACCUGGAAAACCUCGAGGGUUUAAUUGACGAAACCUCAAGAUUAAUACCGUGCAUUUGCAGGAGCAAACACCCCCGCUGUGUCUGUAUGUUUUUUCCUGUUCGUGCGUGAAGGGAUAAGAGCCUGUGCAUCUGUGGGGGAUUGUGUGUGUGUCUCUUUAUUCUCACUUUUGCAGCACUCAUGUGCCAAGAAGCUCCCAGACGACAUUCUCUAAUCAUUAACCUGAA